GUGCGAGCGAGUGUGGAGAGAGCGAGCGAGCGAGCACGAAGCGCUACAAAAGAAGCGCGAGCGGAGUUUGCGGGCUCAACUCCGAGGCAGCGUCAGCUGCUGUCGCGGACGGCGAUCUCUCGGUCUCGCUUUCCCUCCUCCUCCUCCUUCUUCUCUCCCCUCCGCUCGGGUGGGCUUUGGCGGUGGAAACAACCGGUGCCUGGCACGUCUGUCCCUCCCUCCCUCCAGGAGGAGCCGCCUGCUCCAGGACCCCCCCCCCCGCGCUACCCUCGCCUCGGGACUGGCACAGCGCCGCCGCCGCCGCCUCCCCCCUCCUGUCCUCACAGGUUAAAGCGCCGCGAGGUUGCAUGCCUUGGACUUGAUGCUUGAUUUGCAUGACUCCUAACAAUCAGGUGCUGGAUUUGCCAGUGAGCAAACAUGGCCCACUCAGUGAAUGUUAAUGGCAGUUUUACAGAAAACGAAGAAAAUGCCAUAAAUGGGGAGGAUGACAAAAUUCAGAAAGAUCCCUAUUUUGUGGAGACGCCUUAUGGCUACCAGCUUGAUUUGGAUUUUCUCAAGUAUGUGGAAGAUAUACAGAAGGGAAAUACUAUUAAGAAACUAAACAUUCAGAAGAAGCGGAAAGUGACACCACCUUUUGUUCCUGUCAAAAUCGCUUCCAAUCAGUACAGUGGAUGGACAUCAAAUGAAUCUCUUUCUUCAUCCAACAGUGAUGAAAACAAACAUUCAUCUUUACUUUUUACAGCCCAAAGCCAAUUAGCAGGGACAACUUCUGCAAGGCCAUCCUUGGCAUUUGAAGCUUCUCCAAGCUUCCUAACAAUCCCUGAAAGCAAACCCUUACAUCCUCCUUCACCACAGCUGCCUAGACAUAACCUUCGAGUUACAAAAACUCUCAUGGAAACACGUAGGAGAUUGGAGCAGGAGAAAAUGGCAAUGCAGCCUGUCCCUGGAGAAAGUCGGAGGCCUAGGCUUUCCAGUUUUGGAGCCAUGGGAUCCACUGGCUCGCUUCCUUCUUUUGUGGGAUCCAGUAGCCAGAAUCAGAUGUGCCAGCAAUUUCAGAAUGGCUAUCAAGGCAAUGGAGAUUGUAACCUUUAUCUGGCCUCCUCUUUGGGCAGUUCUAUUCGGCAUAGCCCCUUGAGUUCAGGAGUAUCAACACCUGUGACCAACGUGAGCCCAGUGCACCUGCAACACAUCAGGGAACAAAUGGCUAUUGCCCUCAAACAUCUCAAGGAACUGGAGGAGCAAGUUAAAACCAUCCCUGUGCUCCAGGUUAAGAUCUCAGUACUUCAGGAGGAGAAAAGACAGCUGGUGGCAAAGCUCAAAAGCCAAAGAAUGGUCAAUCAGAAUGACAUGGGCACUUUCAGAAAGAGAUCUUACAGUGCAGGAAAUGCAGAGCAGUGGAAGCACCUGUCUUCGGUCAGAGGAGGGGGGGAGCUUUACAUAGACUGUGAAGAAGAUACAGGGAAUGUGGGGCAUAGCACAGAGCAGGUAGAAGAGUUUAGGCAGUUGACUGCUGAAGUGCAAGCACUGGAGAAGAAAAUCCAGGACAGCAGUUAUGAUAUUUCCUCUGUGCGAGGCAAUCAAGCAAAUGUAGCAAAAGAGAAUAGGUCAAUUGCUGUCGGUGCAGAUGAAAGCAUGAAUGAUAUUGUGGUAUAUAACAGAGCUUCGAGGGCAUACAGGGAUGUAGCUGUGGGAACAGAUGUGAAGACUAAAGAUUUUAUUGCUGGGGUGUCAGAAGAAAUGCUUGGUCUGUCUACUGAGGCUGAGAGAGAGAUAGAACUUCAGCAUCAGAUGAUUGAAUCCCUUAAAGAGAAAAUCUACCGGCUGGAGGUUCAGUUGAGGGAAGCCACUUACGACAGGGAAAUGAUCAAAUUAAAGCAUGAGCUUCAGGCAGCUGGCUCUAGGAAAAAAUCAGACAAGGCAUUAAUGGCACAGCCCCUUGUCUUCAGCAAAGCAGUAGGCACAGAAAUGCAAACGAGAGACCAAAUGGUGGGAAACCACGUGGACAUUGUUGAUUCUUGUGUAGGGAACAGUCCCCAGAUGAGUAGCAUUGGUGUAUUGUGUAGGCCUAUGUUGCAGAGUUCAGCUGUGGGGCCAGAUGUUCCCAUGAAUUGGUGGAUUGUGAAAGAGAGGAAUGAAAUGUGUGAUCGUUGUAUUGGGAGUUAUGUUGAGACCCACAAUAAAUGUGUGGGCACAGAAAUGAGCUUCUGUGAAGCUGGGGUCAAUACAGAGGAAUCGGUGGACAGCCUAAGCCUGCAUAAGACACAACUACAAAUCAAGGAAGUGUGGUCACUUGGCUAUAGAGACUCUUUGGAUCUGACAUUGUGUCCAGCUAAAGAGACUGCAACUUGCAGCACAAACACAGAGACUGCUUGCAGAGCCAACUCUGGAAUCAUGGCAGUGCCUUGUACAAUUAACCAGGGAACCAAUACAGUAUUAGAACAGGCUGAUGGAUUCACCAACACAGAAAUGAUAACUUUGACAGAUUCCAGCACCAAUACUUUGUUGAGCACUUCUGAUAAGCAGACAAACACUGUGGCUGUGGAGUUGAAGACGGUGGCUGUCGGAGAUGGUAGGGUCAAGGAUGUAAAUGCUGCUGCUAAAACUCGUUCCAUUGGUAUAGGAACUUUGCUUUCUACCACUGCUAGCUUUGAUAAAUCUUCUCUAACAAAGACCAAAGACUGCGGAGUAGGUCAGAUCAGUAUUCAUGAGAACUAUCUAGUUGGAUUAAAAAUGAGAAACAUUGCCUGUGGUCCACCACCGGUUUCUCUUGCACCACCCAGCACGAGAAGCAUUGGUGUUGGGGAUGAUUCUGUGGUGGAUGAUUCACGGAACCCCGACACUGAUAGUCCAUUUCCUCUGCCCGAAAUAAGGACCGGCCUGGACCAUUACAUUGAACGGGUUCAAAAGCUUGUUCAAGAACAGCAGAUGCUCCUUGCUGAAAAUUAUGCUGAACUAGCAGAAGCUUUUGGAGAACCUCACUCACAAAUAGGCUCUCUCAAUUCUCAGCUCAUCAGCACUCUAUCAUCUAUCAAUACGGUCAUGAAAUAUGCAAGCACAGAGGAACUGCGCACCUUAGAGGUACCAAAACAAUGCUUGGACAAACCUACUGCUACAGACUCUUCAAAAUUGAAGCUGGGACAGGAAAUCAGGACCAUAAAUGAGGAGACGACUGCAAUAAUUGGAAUGAGACAGGACCAAAAGAUUUUGACUUCCCAGGAUAGCACAUUAUCUUCAAUUAAUCUUACAGAUGACCAACUUGCCUCUGGGCUUUAUGUAUGCGCAAAUGAUGGUAUGUUGAAGUCCAUCAUGAAGAAAAAAGAUGGGAAAAAAGAUGAGAAUACAAAGAAGAAUUUGCAGUUUGUGGGUAUUAAUGGAGGGUAUGAAACCACAUCAAGUGAUGAUUCUAGUUCAGAAGAGAGUUCCUCAUCAGAGUCUGAUGAUGAAUGUGUCGGGAAUGAUUAUGUUCAGAUUGAAAAUUCCAGCGUACUUGAAAGGGAACAUAGAUUAAACAGGAAAGAUGUUAAACCUGUUCAAGAAGAAGAAAUAAUGCAUGUUCAAGAGCCUGAACCUGAGAAUAUAGAAAUCCGUGAGAGAUAUGAACUGAGUGAAAAGAUGCUGUCAGCAUGUCAUUUUCUGAAAAACAGCAUUGAUGAUCCAAAAGCCAUGAGCAGCAAAGAAAUACGAUUUUGUUUAAACACCAUCCAGCAUGAGUGGUUUCGUAUAUCAAGCCAAAAAUCAGCUAUUGCUGCCAUGGUUGGGGACUACAUUGCUACUUUUGAAGAGGCUUCUCCUGCAGUCCUUAGGCAAAUCAUCAACAUGGCAGAUGGAAAUGGCAAUACGGCUCUUCAUUACAGUGUCUCCCACUCUAACUUUGAAAUUGUGAAACUGCUUUUAGAUGCAAAUGUCUGUAAUGUAAAUCACCAAAACAAGGCUGGCUAUACACCGAUUAUGCUGGCUGCCCUUGCAGCUGUAGAGGCAGAAAAAGACAUGAAAAUAGUGGAAGAUCUCUUUGCCUGUGGAGACGUGAAUGCAAAAGCUAGCCAGGCUGGUCAAACUGCUCUGAUGCUUGCUGUGAGCCACGGGCGAAUAGAUAUGGUGAAAGCUCUGUUGGCUUGUGGUGCAGAUGUCAACAUCCAAGAUGAUGAGGGCUCCACUGCUUUGAUGUGCGCAAGUGAACAUGGGCAUGUGGAAAUAGUCAAACUUUUGCUAGCUCAACCUGGAUGUAAUGGUACCCUGGAAGACAAUGAUGGCAGCACAGCACUUUCAAUAGCCCUUGACGCUGGGCACAAGGAUAUUGCUGUUCUCCUCUAUGCUCAUGUAAACUUUUCAAAAACUCAGUCCCCGGGAACUCCAAGGCUUGGAAGAAAGCCUUCCCCAGGUCCUACUCACAGAAGCUCUUUUGAUUGCUAAUGCACAGAGAUAUGUAAAAACUGCCACAUCCUCUAAGCUGCUAGUGAUUACUGUUUUACAGUGACAGAUAUUGAAUGUAAUCGUCAUGUGCCUGUACUCACCAGCAAAUUGAAAGCCAAUGUUUAGAGCUAGGGUAGCCUAUAUAAGAAAGAGGUGAAGAAGCACUCUUGCAGAUAAGAGAGAGUUUACACGUGAUGUGGCUUUCAGUUGAUACUUCAGAUCAAUCCUCACCACUCAGAUUAGUCAAACUCAUCCAUAUGGCAGAAACUUUUUAGGUUUCCAAUAAGGUGAAAGAAUCUGAUACGAUUACAGUUUGCUGGAUGGAUGACUUGCUGUAUGGGAACAGCUGUCAUAAAGGAAAGGUUCUCUGCUGCAUCAUAGGUCAUAUAAAACCCUAAAGUCCCCUUUUGCUCCUAUUUUCAGCUUCCAUCUUUGCUGCCGAAUAUAUCUUGCUGUUACCUACAUACAGUUAUUUAAGCUAGCUAUUUGAUUAUGACUCUACUGUAUUACUUUGUAAAGUAAUCUUCAACACCAUAACUUUUCCUACCUAAGAUGACAUCAAAGUGAUUUCCUGGCAGAGAUACCAUUGUUUCAUAUGUGAUUAUAUAAAGGUGGAAAGGCAAUGUCAGUCAAAUACAAGUACUGUUUUUCAUUGGAACUUGAAGCUGCCUCAGGAUUCCUCGGAAGAAAAAUAAUCCCAAUUUAAAAAGCCAAUUGUUUCCUACAGCUAGUUUCUCACUGCCGUGAAACUAAAGUUUUGUUUGCAAACACAUUGCAAACUCUGGAAUCAGAAUGAUGAACCAGAAAAAAGAUAUAUCCAAAUAUUUCUAUUUCACACCUAUCCUUCCAAAAACAAAUUAGGACACAUAUAGUAUUUGGAAGGACAGAUAUGAUUACUUUGGCCUAACUCUGUCCUCAAUUAAAAGGUCUUCAUUGUAUGUGUUUUAAAAUGUAAUUUUAUUAACAUUUUAAAUCACAUUUUAAUUGGUAGAAUUAUAUUGUAAACUAUUUGAGAUUUGUAUAUAGGUUAUACCAAUGUUUCAACCUUAGCAUCUUUUAGAGAUGUGGACUUCCAACUCCCAGAAUUGCCCAUGCUGUCUGGAGAAUUCUGGAAGUCUACACGUCUUAAAGCUGAUUGAGAAACGCUGGGUUAUGCAAGUGUUUUUCAUGAACAAAUUCAGCCAACAUUGUCGGGAAACCAAACCUCAUAUAAUUAAAAAAACACUAUUUUUUUUUAGCCAAACCAUUGUACAGUAGUUGCUAAAGAAGAAACAAUUAGCUGGUUUCUCAUUCCAUUAAAAGCAAUGGAAGGAUUAAUAAUACAAUUGUGUUUGUAGUAAAACACAAAAUAAAUUUGUUUUCUGUGUGUCUUGAUAAUGCAGAGUACAUUUCUAGUAAGGGAUCCAAAGAAGAUGGAAGUCCUAAGAUUCUUCCAACCACAUACAAAGAAAAUAUUCACCUGGUUUCCUAUCUGGCUAUAUGCAUGUUAUAAUAACAUUAUAUGAUAAUUAGUUGCACUUUUUAACCACUGUAUCCUUACGGAGACACCUUUUUGGUGAUUCUGGGACCUCUAGAAUGGUAUUUGAAGGCCUAAUGUUCAGAUUGCCAUCCAGCAAAGCAGGUGCCUAUAUAUGGUACAUAUAUAUGCAGCAUUUAAAACGGCAGCAUUUUUCUGUUUGCCAUUUAACUGUGAAGAGCAGCUUUAUUUAGAAUGGAUUUGUGUCCAGAAGCACCCUGCCAAGUUUCCUCAGGAAGGAAAUGGCUAAUCAUAGGUUGCUUGUUUGCUUAUUUAAGCACAACAGCAAUUUUCAAGACCCAGUUGCUGAAGGGUGUAAUCCAGAGACCGUACCAGGCAUACAGCAGCAUUGUGCUGUAACGAAAAGUAAAUAAACUUGCAAGAGUUGCCAAGAAAUUCUUCUAAAACUGAAGGACACAUCUGAGAAAUUUGGACAUAACCUAGAGAUAAUAAUAUCAAAAUACGGGCAUUGGGCAUUUAUUUGGCACAAAUUACUUGAAAUUUGUGACAAAUAUAACUACACUCGCCAUUUUGAAAUUUAACAUAUUUUCAUUGAAGCUAAGCUAACCUUCCUAGACAAGAUCAAAUGGCAUGGUAGUCUGCAGAAGUAGACAUUUUUUUUCUGAUGAUGUAGUCAACUUUUAAGCCUGGGCAAAUAUUUAAUAACUGUGUGGCGAGGAAUCAUGAAAUGUCAACUAUUACCAUUAUGUUUGUCAUUGAAAAUAGAUCAUCAUCCCAGUAGAACAGAAAGAAAAUAAAAGGAAAAGCAGAUGUACAAAAAAUUAACUUCAGAUUGAUAACACAUGGCCAAUAAAAAAAUUUAUUCUA